UACGUAGGGGGCAAGCGUUGUCCGGAAUCAUUGGGCGUAAAGAGCGUGUAGGCGGCCCGGUAAGUCCGCUGUGAAAGUCCAGGGCUCAACCCUGGGAUGCCGGUGGAUACUGUCGGGCUCGAGUCCGGAAGAGGCGAGUGGAAUUCCUGGUGUAGCGGUGAAAUGCGCAGAUAUCAGGAGGAACACCAAUGGCGAAGGCAGCUCGCUGGGACGUGACCGACGCUGAGACGCGAAAGCGUGGGGAGCAAACAGG
rnacentral:rRNA from 1 species